rnacentral:tRNA from 8 species
UCCGGCUUAGCUCAGCGGUAGAGCAAUCGGCUGUUAACCGAUUGGUCGCCUGUUCGAAUCAGGCAGCCGGAGCCA